rnacentral:rRNA from 1 species
UACGGAGGGGGCCAGCGUUGUUCGGAAUUAUUGGGCGUAAAGGGCGCGUAGGCGGCCAUUCAAGUCGAACGUGAAAUCCCUCGGCUCAACCGGGGAACUGCGUCCGAUACUGUCUGGCUUGAGUCCUGGAGAGGGUAGUGGAAUUCCCAGUGUAGCGGUGAAAUGCGUAGAUACUGGGAGGAACACCGGUGGCGAAGGCGGCUACCUGGACAGGUACUGACGCUGAGGCGCGAAAGCUAGGGGAGCAAACAGG